rnacentral:rRNA from 1 species
UACGGAGACUGCAAGCGUUACUCGGAUUCACUGGGCGUAAAGCGUCCGCAGGCGGUCUAGUCAGUUUGAUGUGAAAGCCCUCUGCUCAAAGGAGGAAGUGCAUUGAAUACUGCUAGACUAGAGUAUUGGAGGGGUGAACGGAAUUCCUGGUGUAGAGGUGAAAUUCGUAGAUAUCAGGAGGAACAACGGAAGCGAAGGCGGUUCACUGGACAAUUACUGACGCUCAUGGACGAAAGUGUGGGGAGCGAACGGG